rnacentral:rRNA from 1 species
ACCGUACUCCUACGGGAGGCAGCAGUGGGGAAUUUUGGACAAUGGGGGCAACCCUGAUCCAGCAAUGCCGCGUGAGUGAAGAAGGCCUUCGGGUUGUAAAGCUCUUUUGUCUGGGAAGAAACGGUAGUAGCUAAUAUCUAUUACUAAUGACGGUACCUGAAGAAUAAGCACCGGCUAACUACGUGCCAGCAGCCGCGGUAAUACGUAGGGUGCAAGCUUUAAUCGGAAUUACUGGGCGUAAAGCGUGCGCAGGCGGUUGUGUAAGUCAGAUGUGAAAUCCCCGGGCUCAACCUGGGAAUUGCAUUUGAGACGGCACGGCUAGAGUGUGUCAGAGGGGGGUAGAAUUCCACGUGUAGGAGUGAAAUGCGUAGAUAUGUGGAGGAAUACCGAUGGCGAAGGCAGCCCCCUGGGAAAACACUGACGCUCAUGCACGAAAGGGUGGGGAGCAAACAGGAUUAGAUACCCAAGUAGUCCUUGAC